rnacentral:tRNA from 1 species
GCCUGUGUAGCUCAGUGGUAGAGCACUUGAUUCGUAAUCAAGGGGUCGGGGGUUCAAAUCCCUUCACAGGCU